AGUGCGGCGCGACUCGCAGGUGUGAUUCAUCAUCAGCGUUGUGGUGGGUUGUGAAUUCACGUGAAACUAGUGAAGGAGUGUUUGCAAGGUCAAGGUGAUGGUCACGAAGACACUGGUUUAUCUUAUCUGUCGAGGCAAGUUAUUUUAUCGGAUUGUUUUCUGUGUCCGAACCUUCUUGUCGACAGGGAGAUAAAUCACUGGUUUUUAGUGAUCGGUCUACAAGGAUACUGUUUCGUGAAUCUGUGAAACAUUGUCGUGAAAUUUCACCAACGAACAGUGACCGUGAUGAACAAAGAGUGAGUUGCUAUAGUGAAGUAACAAUAUGAAUGGUUGUGAAAUGGGCCUACUUCGACUGAAGCUAGAUGAUUACGCUAAUAAACCAUUCAUGUUAUGAAUCAGUCACACAAAGGUUGUGAAUGAUUCACACCAAUUUUCUCCGAAUACAGCCAUCCACAAUUAGUGACCGUUAGCGGUAUGAAUCAUCAUCUUUGCGCAAACAUUCCGCACACUACUUAUCGGAUUGUCGAAUGUUUGAUUGGCGGGGAUUUUCCUCGGGCGUGGAACAGGAUAGUGAAACAACUGCCAUAGCCAACUCUGUUAUCUUACGAUUUAAUACAUAUUUUGUGACAAACAACAAGCCGUCGUAGGUUUGCACAGGAGCGGAGGCGACGAAGCAGCUUACGGAACUGGUGCCCACUAGCAACCACCCACAUCCAUCCAUCAUCCGAUGCUUCAGUGUGUAUAUGGAUUGAAUUGGAAAGCAAACAUCAACACUCAAUACCAGUGAAUACUCUCGUUUGUUUUCUCCGAAUUGCAUCAUUCAGGACCGAUUAUUACAGUCACGCGCGAAUGACGUCAAUCCUGCUUCUGUGAGCCAUCAAGCCAGUACAAGGAACUUUCCAGUGGAGUUGGGGAUUCCCACACACUACGUGCUCUUUGUGGCUCUAUGUAAAACGAUUGGAUUUGUUCUUCUCCCAAAUUAUAACCUUGAUAUUAGUCGAUGACUCCGAAAACAAUCUCUUUCCACGUGCGAUCAACAGUUGACACGGGCGGAAAUUCCACUGACCUCUUUAUUUGUGGUAUUUCCGGAAUGUGGCGACCAUCAGCUUCAAGUAUCUUUGUCCAAUUAUAGAACUAAUUUUCUCGGAAAUCGUUCAAUAUAAACAAUACACUGAUGGUUGGCUCUUUUGCGUCAGUCCAAACGCAGUUCCCCCGUCGAUCCUAAACCGGUGCAAAAUUUGGUCACGUUAAUAAUGACCGUGUGGUUUUUUUUCUAACGAUAAAAAAACCCAGUGCCACCCCGACGAAGAGUGUAGCAAUAGCGAAAAAGUAAUAAAAACAUGCGAAAACAACAAACACAGCAGGCAUGAACACGUUUCCAGUUUGCAAGUCAUUCCUCAAAGGAAAAAUUUUGAGACCCUCCCCACCGCUAACAACGGCGGCGGCGACGACGACGACGAUGACGUGUUUAACCAUCGCGGAGAAAUUAGUCAUUAGUAUGAGUGAGUUCGCGAAACCGCCGGCAGGUUGAAAUGACAGCAGUAGUGUGUCUGUAGGAAUACACAGCUGCACUUCUCGCGCACUUUCUCACGUCUGUGAUUCAUUGUGAUGAAUGAACGCACCCCCUCUCAAACGACGCAGAUUGGGCGAUGAAUGAACCGGCGGAAACGAACCUAAUUCCAUGGUAAUCUACGAUGAAUCAUCGAUAAGUCUGAUUCACCUGCUUGUUCGUCGCCAUCGUCAUCACCACCAUCGUCAUCAUGAACGGCGCCUGCUGGAAACACAAGAAAAACUUAGCAAUCCAUGACGGAAAGUCUGCACUAAUGACUAUGUGAACCCCAAUAAACUCCGACAAAUAAAUUAACUACAGCUCAGCAAUCGUUCAUUUAAAGUUAAGCGUGUAUUUUUGUCAAUAUAUUGGAAAUAGGCAAACAGCAUUGCAUUGGAAAGAUAAGUUCGCCGUUUAGACAAUUGAUGUCUCUUGGAUCUAUCAGCAUUCUUAUUUGGCAUACUUCUCGACAAACAUAUGAUUAAGGCUUAAAAGCCAACUGUCAAAAUUCUCUUUGAAAGGAAAUUCCGGAAAACCGUUACUCGCUAAUCACAGAGCUUGAUAGUAAACAAAAGAGAAAAGUUUUCUCUUCCAUUAACUGCUAUGAACUGUGUUUAGCCAGCAACGGUUUGUGCGUAAUUUUCUUUCAAAGAGAAUUUUGACAGUUGGCUUUUAAGCCGUAAUCAUAUGUUUGUUGAGUAUUCGACUAUUGAUCCUCCGCAGACCAGGAAGGGGUCGGAUACGACAUCAUGUUUAUCGAUAGCAGGCUACCGCAUGUAUGGGAAUCUCAUCUGGUCUGCGAAGGGUUAAAGUUCUAACGGGACAGCCUAUGUUAACAGAAAAUAUUAAUCGAUUGUGCUGUGUUUCCUAUUUCCAGUUCCGUGUAAAAGUAUUUCAGUGAAACAGCAUGAGGCUUGAGGAAGAAGACAGGUAGUGUCCUGGAAAAUGGCUUUAUGGUGUUCGAAAGAAUAUCCGCAACAUCAUAAGCGUGUUGAUAACUAAAGGUCGUUCCUGCAAUGAUAGCGUCAUUAAUGUGCACUGCACAUAAAAUACGAGAAAGAGGAGUUAUAUGUGGAGCUGGAGCGUGUGCGCCUCGAUAGUUUGACAGAUGGAUGGUGACGUCGUAUAUAUGAUCAUUCCAAAGGAAGACGACGAAGAGUGAAGCGUGCCAAUUGGCGUUUUGAUUUUCUGGAUACCAUUUUUGGGAACCAUACAGCUGAUGCAUAUUCAAGACCUGAACUAACUCACCGUCAAAUGCAGCCAUCCGUUAAAAAAUAUGUGAGGCAGAAUAAGAAGCUAAAGGAGAUGAAAGAUAAGAUUACCAGAAACAAAAUAAAAGAAAACAUCUAUUCGAGAGUCCUGUCUCAGCUCAAAGCUGAAGCGAAAAGAUGCACAAUAGACCGAUUUCAAACACUGAAUAUUUGUAAUACAUUUUGUUUAACGAAACCAAGAGCUUUCCGCAAUGUGUUCCUUAAACGAUAAGGCAUAAUCGUACGAAAAAUGUGAAUAUUGUCUAGAAAAACAUAACUGAACAAUUUGACACAUUAAGGAAAUACCAUUCGAUAGGAGGAAAGACACCAGAUAUCAAGACUAUUAAGCUGUAUUUGGAGAAGUUACUGAUCUGUAAUACAUUUGAUGAAGUGAAAUAAUUGGAAGUAAAUGGUAUA